rnacentral:rRNA from 1 species
CCUACGGGAGGCAGCAGUGGGGAAUUUUGGACAAUGGGCGCAAGCCUGAUCCAGCAAUGCCGCGUGAGUGAAGAAGGCCUUCGGGUUGUAAAGCUCUUUUGUCAGGGAAGAAACGGUGGAGGCUAAUAUCCUUUGCUAAUGACGGUACCUGAAGAAUAAGCACCGGCUAACUACGUGCCAGCAGCCGCGGUAAUACGUAGGGUGCAAGCGUUAAUCGGAAUUACUGGGCGUAAAGCGUGCGCAGGCGGUUUUGUAAGUUUGUCGUGAAAUCCCCGGGCUCAACCUGGGAAUGGCGAUGAAGACUGCAAGGCUAGAAUCUGGCAGAGGGGGGUAGAAUUCCACGUGUAGCAGUGAAAUGCGUAGAGAUGUGGAGGAACACCGAUGGCGAAGGCAGCCCCCUGGGUCAAGAUUGACGCUCAUGCACGAAAGCGUGGGGAGCAAACAGGACUAGAUACCCUGGUAGUCCACGCCCUAAACGAUGUCUACUAGUUGUCGGGUUUUAAUUAACUUGGUAACGCAGCUAACGCGUGAAGUAGACCGCCUGGGGGAGUACGGUCGCAAAGAUUAAAAACUCAAAGGAAUUGACGG